GGGAAGUCAGAACAAGAUUAAACACUAUCAAAAUCCAGUAUAAAACAAGUGACAUGAUCAUGACAUGUCGGACAGGAAUUGUGGGCAACUUUGCCCAGCUUCUUCACACAAAGUUCCAACUCAAACAAACUAAAAGAAACCUCAGGAAAACCCGGUCAGUCUGGCCAUAACAGGAUAUUGACAAACCCAGCCCUAGAGGCACACGAAGGGGGUAAAAUUAUAGGUCACAUGGCAGAAAUACGGAACUCGGAAUUUGAGGGUUUAUACUCACAAGAAAAGCCAAAAGUCAGCAAACGUUCCCAUGUACAUGACAUACAUGGUGAAGAUUGGGCGUGUCACACCAUGCAGCGGUUCAGAGAGAUGAGACAAAAAUGUAGGCUCUACUCAGCCAUAGGAACCAAGCAAAAUCACAGAAAGAAAAGGUCUACCCGUCUGGUAGCAAGCGCGCUAGGUAUGGACACUGAUCAAAGCUAGGGCCCAGUUUUAUACAGAAAGAUUACCUCAUCUCAACGAACCAAUGCCUGCCGUAACAGCCAGAAUUCACCAACCCUAUUACAAAGUAAGCCACACAAAAGAAGCUAAAAUCAUUAGCCCAGAACACAAAGGAGACCAACGAUCAUCACUUGAAAAUACCUCAGGAGAUUACCAAAUUAUAGGCCCAAGCAAACCAGGUCAAAAUUAUGACAUAACCAUUAACCAUGCAAGGCCCAUAACGACUUCCGUUACACUACUACAAUGCACGUGAUUGAUGGUUGAACAUUCAUUCUCGUUGACAGUGUAUUAUUGAAAUAUUUGAUUGUGAUGAUGGUGUAUUGUACUAGGCCUUGCAUGCUCCCAACGUGUGGCAUAUUUCACAUUGAUACUACCAGUAUCAAUUACAAAAAAAUAGAUUGUGAGUAACAAUAGGCCUACAAACAAUGCUACAUGUCAUGAGGGUGGGAACGGGGAAGGGGGGGUAACUGUCUCGACGUCCCGUUAGGAAAAAAGGCUUAUCCCGUUUCCCAAUACGCAAUUUUAGCCGAAUCGUGGCGCAAAACACGGCUUGUCUCGAAUCCCGCUAAAAUAAGGGUGUCUAUCCCGAAUCCCGACAGUUAUUUUCGGCCCAUCCCAGUGUCCCGAAAAUACCCGUUCUCCCCCUCAUACAUAGUAGACCAUAUUGUCACAUUGAUGUUUUCUUUCAUUACAGUUAGACUUCGAGAUCUACAUUUUCGACAAAGGCCUGGUGUAAUAUUAUUACGUACUUGAUGAAGGUUUAAUGACACGAAUGAGUACAAGUACAUUACAUUUUUCGACGAAGGCCUUCUGUAAUUUCAUACGCUUCUUACGCAACAUUCAAUAGAUUUAUUUACUGUAUUAUCAUUUCGACCAAGGCGAAUUCGACACUUCAAUUACACAAGCACAAUCAAACUUAGUCAUUCCAGUCAGUUACUGAAGCACAGUGAAAACUGUCGGGAGCAGUGCAACUGAUGGCAUGUCAAACUUCCAGUGACUGUCCCUGUCCAUAUAUUUCAAGACAGUACAAAUCUUGUAAUCAUUUUGUUUAUGCAAUGUACGUUAUUAUGUAUCAUUUCAGCACAAUCAAACUUAGUCAUUCCAGUCAGUUACUGAAGCACAGCGAAAACUGUCUGAAUUAGUGCUGCUGAUGGCAUGUAAUUACUCUACUACCACUACCAGUGGCAGUCAAUGUCCAAAUAUUUUCAAGUGUGCGAAAUUAGUACUCGUCUACUUCUUAGUGUUAUUUGAAUGCAAUGUAUGUUAUAAAAAUAUUUUUUCAACACUAUAUCAACAUUCUCAUUCCUGUCAGUUUCUGAAAAUCAGCUAAAGCAAUCGCUACCAAUGCAGCUGAUAACAGCAAUUCUUUUUGUUCCCAAUGCCCAUCCAUGACAAUAUAUUUCACGCAUGUGACAAUCAUGUAAUCAUCCUGUUUUUUGUGUUCUAUUCAUGCAAUAAAUAAAUUCAGUAUUUUCAAAUCAUUGGUGCUACAAAACUAUUCUCAUUAUAGAUUAUUCAUAUUUUAUAAAAUGCUGUCAUGUCAAAUUUUGUGUCCUAUAAAUCAUAAUGAAGUCGGCAUUUUAUAUACAACUUUUGUACUCCUCCUAAAUAAACAUACAAAUCUUGUUUUAUGUAAACUUUGUAUAUGUGACCCGUCACAGCAAAACCAGGCGCAUGUCGCUCUGAGCUUGGCAGGUUGAGACGGACUGUUCUAAUCUUUCAUUAGCGACACCAUUUCUUACCAGAGUGCCUCCUUCAUUCAUACAUCUUGUACUUUAACUCAAGAUACCCAUCUUUGAAUAUUUUUAGUAUACCAAGUACUACAAUGUCAAUGUAUUGAAGUCAUGUUCUUGUAGUGUUAUUGGCUUUCCAUUAUCUUGUCAAAAUACCACUUGGUUCUCGCAAAAUCUCAAUAAAAACAAAUGCUAUUGCAUGUAUUGCAUAUUCUAACAGCUAUCCACUGUAUCGAUUUAUCCAUCAUCUGUACUAUUUGUCACAAAAAUGUUAUAUUAUGUAAAUCAUAUUUCAUUACAUAAUGCACACUGCCAAUUACUGCUGAACCAUUCAUAUGUCAUUUAAAUAAAUAAUUUUCAACUUUUUAAAACCGUCUUAUAGUACUGUUCUUGUCACUUAGCUGAACCAAUUGCUCUAUAGCAUGAAAUUUCCAGAAAUGCCCCAGGGACUGAAAAGUGCUGUUUUAACAGAGAGGUGUCCUAAACUGAGAAGUCGAGUUGAAUGGAAACAACCAAUUUGGAACCAAAAACUACUGUCCUUAUUAAAGAGGUUGUCCUCAAUAGAAAGGUGUCCACAAAAAGUAGGUCCACUGUAUAUGAAAGUACAA